rnacentral:rRNA from 1 species
GAUUAACGCUGGCGGCGUGCAUAACACAUGCCAGUCGAACGAUGAAACUCAUUAGAUUUCUUCGGAAUGAAAAUGAAUGGAUUAGUGGCGAACGGGUGAGUAACGCGUGAGUAACCUGCCUUACACAAGGGGAUAGCCUCUGGAAACGGAGAAUAAUACCCUAUGAAACCAGACAAUCGCAUGAUAAUCUGGUCAAAAUGUUUAGUGGUGUAAGAUGGACUUGCGUCUGAUUAGCUAGUUGGUGAGAUAAAAGCUCACCAAGGCAACGAUCAGUAGCCGGCUUGAGAGAGUGUACGGCCACAUUGGGACUGAGACACGGCCCAGACUCCUACGGGAGGCAGCAGUGGGGAAUUUUGCACAAUGGGGGAAACCCUGAUGCAGCGACGCCGCGUGAUUUAGAAGGCCUUCGGGUUGUAAAAAUCUUUUGUAUAGGAAGAAAAUGACAGUACUAUACGAAUAAGGUCCGGCUAAUUACGUG